rnacentral:lncRNA from 1 species
ACGUGCAGGACUCCUGCAGCAUGUAAAGAAGAGCCACUUUGAACGUCAGAAAAGCAGAUGAGCUCUGUGCUACCCAGCUUGUGGCUUUUUGCACUGCUUUGAGGAUUUUGAGAUACCUUGAUUCAGCUAGAGCCCCAAGAGAGGCUGGACAGGCUGGGGGCAGCUAUAGGACAGAAGGACCUGAACAAUCCAUGGACAGGAGGAGUUUGAGUCUCUGCAAAAAACCACCCUUUUCAUAG